rnacentral:rRNA from 1 species
UACGGGGGGGGCAAGCGUUGUUCGGAAUUACUGGGCGUAAAGGGCGUGUAGGCGGCCAACUAAGUCCGACGUGAAAUCCCCAGGCUUAACCUGGGAACUGCAUCCGAUACUGGAUGGCUUGAAUCCGGGAGAGGGAUGCAGAAUUCCAGGUGUAGCGGUGAAAUGCGUAGAUAUCUGGAGGAAUACCGGUGGCGAAGGCGGCAUCCUGGACCGGCAUUGACGCUGAUGAGCGAAAGCUAGGGGAGCAAACGGG